rnacentral:tRNA from 1 species
UCCCUGGUGGUCCAGUGGUUAAGACUGCACUUCCACUGCAUAAGGUAUGGGUUCAAAUCCUGGCUGGGGAA